GAGUUUGAUCGUGGCUCAGAGUGAACGCUGGCGGUAGGCCUAACACAUGCAAGUCGAACGGCAGCACAGUAAGAGCUUGCUCUUACGGGUGGCGAGUGGCGGACGGGUGAGGAAUACAUCGGAAUCUACUUUUUCGUGGGGAUAACGUAGGGAAACUUACGCUAAUACCGCAUACGACCUACGGUGAAAGCAGGGGAUCUUCGGACCUUGCGCGAUUGAAUGAGCCGAUGUCGGAUUAGCUAGUUGGCGGGGUAAAGGCCCACCAAGGCGACGAUCCGUAGCUGGUCUGAGAGGAUGAUCAGCCACACUGGAACUGAGACACGGUCCAGACUCCUACGGGAGGCAGCAGUGGGGAAUAUUGGACAAUGGGCGGCAAGCCUGAUCCAGCCA
rnacentral:rRNA from 1 species